rnacentral:rRNA from 1 species
CCUACGGGAGACUGCAGUGAGGAAUAUUGGUCAAUGGACGAGAGUCUGAACCAGCCAAGUAGCGUGAAGGAUGACUGCCCUAUGGGUUGUAAACUUCUUUUAUAUGGGAAUAAAACGUUCCACGUGUGGGAUUUUGUAUGUACCAUAUGAAUAAGGAUCGGCUAACUCCGUGCCAGCAGCCGCGGUAAUACGGAGGAUCCGAGCGUUAUCCGGAUUUAUUGGGUUUAAAGGGAGCGUAGGUGGAUUGUUAAGUCAGUUGUGAAAGUUUGCGGCUCAACCGUAAAAUUGCAGUUGAAACUGGCAGUCUUGAGUACAGUAGAGGUGGGCGGAAUGCGUGGUGUAGCGGUGAAAUGCUUAGAUAUCACGAAGAACUCCGAUUGCGAAGGCAGUUCACUGGACUGCAACUGACACUGAGGCUCGAAAGUGUGGGUAUCAAACAGGAUUAGAUACCCUUGUAGUC